rnacentral:siRNA from 1 species
AUGUGACCCGAAUGCACUUUUACC